GGAUGUGAGGGCGACCUGGCUGCAACAUCUGUCACUCCAUUGAUCGCCAGGGUUCAUUCAGCUGAUCUGGCUGGCUAGGCGGGUGUCCCCUUCCUCCCUCACCGCUCCAUAUGCGUCCCUCCCAAAGCUGCACCCUCCGUCGAAGAGGACGACCUUCCCCGCUAGAGGAGGACCGGUCUUCGGGUUUGGUCAAGGGUAUACAGUAGCUGUGCUCCCCUACUAGAACCUCCAAACAAGCUCUAAAGAAAAGCAUAGGAUCCUUGGUGCCCUCCAGUGGUCUUGCCUUCCUUCCCAGAUUCUUCCCUUUUCUUAUGGCAUUUAGCAGUGUGAGACUUAGA
rnacentral:snRNA from 1 species